rnacentral:lncRNA from 1 species
CGUCCCCGGCCCCAGUCACACAGUUUUUAAAGGGCAUAUCUAAAACAUAACAGCAAGGUUUAACAGAAGGAUGAAAAAAGAUAUAUCCUAUAAAUCCAGCUAGCUGGCAUAAUCCAUAUAAAUAUAAUAUAUAGUUUAUGUAUUUUUAUAUUUAUGUAUAUAUUUAUAAUUAUUUAUUUAUAACAAGACUUCAAAAUAUAUAAAAAUAUAUAAAACUAAAAUUGACAGAAUUACAGGGAGAAAUUGGUAAGUUCACUAGAAUAGAAAAUUUCAACACAUCUCAGAGUCUGAGAGAUCAAGUAGAAGACAAAAGAAUAGUAAAAUGGAAAAAAUUUGAACUACAAAAUUAACAACUUUGGUCUAAUGGACAUCCAACAACUAAAAAACAAGCAUACUUUUCAAGCAAUCAUGAAACAUUUACAAAAACAGGUUAUAAUCUAGGUCAUAAAGCAAAUCUCAACAAAUAUUAACAGAUCAGUCUUAACAUGUACCUAUUUUCUGUCCACAAUUCAAAUUCAAUUAAAACAGGAAUCAAUAAACACAGAAUUUAAAAAUAUACACGCUAGGAAAUGGGAAAAAAAAGCCUCAUACAUAUGUUAGUCGAGAAAGAAAUCAUAAUUAAAAAUUAAAAAUACAUAGAACUUAACAAAUCUUUCUAUGGUGCUUUAAAAUUAUAAAACAUUAUUUCAUUUGAUCAUUGCAAUAAUCCUAUGAGCUACAUAGAACCCACAAUAUCUCUGCUCAACAGCACAAACACAGCAGAAAUGUUACAAACUGGCUAGGCACAGUGGCUCAUGCCUGUAAUCCCAGCACUUUGGGAGGCUGAAGUGGGCAGAUCACUUGAGGUCAAGAGUUCGAGACCAGCCUGGCCAACAUGGUGAAACCCCUUCUCUACUAAAAAUAUAAAAAUUAGCUGGGCAUGGUUGUACAUGCCUGUAAUAUCAGCUACUCAGGAGGCUGAGGAACAAGAAUUGCUUGAACCCAGGAGGCAAAGUUUGCAGUGAGCCGAGAUCGCGCCACUGCACUCCAGCCUGGGUGACACAGUGAGACUCUGUCGCGCAAAAAAAAAAAAAAA